rnacentral:rRNA from 1 species
CCUACGGGUGGCAGCAGUAGGGAAUAUUGCUCAAUGGGGGAAACGCUGAAGCAGCAACGCCGCGUGGAGGAUGAAGGUCUUAGGAGUGUAAACUCCUUUUGUUCGAGAAGAAAAUGACGGUAUCUAACGAAUAAGCACCGGCUAACUACGUGCCAGCAGCCGCGGUAAUACGGAGGGUGCAAGCGUUACUCGGAAUCACUGGGCGUAAAGAGGGCGUAGGGGGGAUAGCAAGUCAGAUGUGAAAUCCUAUGGCUUAACCAUAGAACUGCAGUUGAAACUGUUAUUCUAGAGUAUGGGAGAGGUAGGUGGAAUGCUUGGUGUAGAGGUGAAAUCCGUAGAGAUCACGAAGAAUACUCAUUGCGAAGGCAACCUGCUAGAACAUCACUGACGCUGAUGCGCGAAAGCGUGGGUAGCAAACAGGAUUAGAUACCCCUGUAGUC